UCCAAAUCGAGUGAUUCAAAGUUCUCCAGAUAGGUAUUGAAAAGAUAUACAACUUGGCGUUGGUCUCAUCCUCAAAUUCGUUACGUAUUUGCCGUGAUCAAGAUCUGGUCAGAUCUAACUUUGUCGAAUUAAACCAGGAGCUUGGAGAAGAAUUUUUGAAUGAACCCAAUGGGGACUGCUGAAUGUUUUCUUAAUCAUAUCAGACAAGUUUCAAACAUUUAUCUAUUGUGUAAAUCCAGAGAGAAAGCAAAUGGUACAGACAUGCAGUAAACUUGUAAAUCCAUUUGUGAGAGUUUCAGAAACAAUUUGAACCCAAAUCCAAUUGUUUAUGCAUCUCUGUUUAAUUACCUUUCAAAUGCAAGUGGACCCAUAUUUUUAGGAUUUUUCUACGAUUUAUGGCUUACAGAUCUUGUUUUCUGUACAGUCAGAUUCAAAGAAAUUCCUAAAAUUGUAGGUUUAAUAUUUUUGGGUGAUUCCAAUUGGGUUAGUCUUGUAUUAGUACUGGCUAUCUAGAAAAAAUAUUAUUAGUCUCUGUUCAUACA